rnacentral:rRNA from 1 species
AUGGUUUCUUCAAGCAGUGAUCAUGGGAACCAUGAACAUGGCAAUGGAUCUCCAGGACCAGAAGAUGUGCAUGAAACGGCUCCUAGCAAUGCAACAGAUUGCAUCGAUGAAAGGGUACCAAAGGUUGGCAUGCAAUUUCUAUCCGAAGAGGAAGCUUACUCCUUUUAUAACAAGUAUGCAAAAGCUAUCGGUUUUAGCAUCCGAAGAGGGAGUCAACAUAAAGUAAAGAAUUCUUCCGUGAUACAGCAACGGACAUUUACAUGCUCCCGUCAAGGAUUCCGAGCAGAAGAUAAGAGAGAGGAUUCGUUCAAUUACAGUAGGCCUGAAACACGAUGUGGUUGUGAAGCCCAUAUGAAGAUAAGUCUGAAAAGCAGAUUAUAUUAUGUCUACGAAUUUGAGGCUGCACACAACCAUAAUCUUGCCACUGGAGACAUGGCCUUAUAUUUAAGGUCCCAAAGGAAAGUGACAGAAGCACAAAUAGCAAACGCUGAGGUCGCAAAGUCUGUAGGCAUUUCGAAUAAAGCAAUUAUUGAUCUUAUGGCCAAAGAAGCAUGUGGACUUCCAAAUCUUGGGUUUGCACCCAAAGAUAUGAAAAAUCGUUUGUACUCUAAGAGAACACUGCAAGCAAAGAAAGGUGACACCGGGGGAGUGUUAGAAUACAUGGAGAAGUAG